rnacentral:lncRNA from 1 species
GCCGGAGGGGGGCGGCGGAGACGGCUCGUCUGUGUCCGAGUCGUCGUCGUCCUCAGGCACCUGAGGCUUGAGCAGCACCGAACGGCCCCGACUGCGGGGCCGGCGCGGGGAACACAUGAAAACGUCGGCAGCCAUGAGGAGAACCUGGUCCGGGGCAUCCCCCGGGAGCCGGGACGACGUAAAGCGGAGAAGCACGGGGAACGGAGGGGGCCGCCGGCCCGACCCGGCCCGGCCCUCGCGCAGACUGCCGGGGAACGCGCGGCCUGAGGGGGAGGGCGCCGGCCUCCUCGUGACGUCACUGUCGUCUUAGCCAAUCGGAUGCUCGCCUCUGCCUCUUAAAGGAAAUCCAGUGAGAUGGUUCACUAGGUAAAUAAAAGUACUUGCUGUUAAGCCUGACCUUCAUUCCAACCCGUGGGACCCACAAGAUAGAAGACUCCCCAACAACUUAAUCUCUGACCACCCCCACCCCCAACCCCAACCCCACUGUGGCAUCUGCGCUUCUCACGAUAAAUAAAGGUAAAAAUAAAUAAAUAAAAGA